AUCCUCUCUUAAGGCUAUCAAGCUGCCAACUGGCUGACAAGGGCAUGCGUGGUAUGAUGACAUCUAACUCCCAGGAUCUGAAGUGUCCCACUCCUGGCUGUGAUGGCUCUGGGCAUAUCACAGGCAACUACGCCUCACACAGAAGUCUGUCAGGUUGUCCCCGGGCAAAGAAGAGUGGUAUUAAAAUAAUGCACAGUAAGGAGGACAAGGAUGACCAGGAGCCAAUCAGGUGCAUUUUUUAAAUUCCUUCAACUAUCCAAAGUAACUGAAAGUUGAAUUUUGCUUGUUGUAACUUACAGGAGGACUAAGGUUAAAACCGUCCAGUUACUGAGGACAAUUGA